UCAAAAAUUCUUACUUAGUCAUUUCUAGUGAAUUUCAUAAAUUCUCUUUAAAAGAAUGUAUCUCCAUCUAUCUAUCUAUUUAUCUACCUACCUACCUAUCAUCUAUCUACCUACCUACCUUCCUACUUAUCUAUCAUCUAUCUGUCCAUCUGCCCACCCAUCCAUCCAUCCAUCCAUCCAUCCAUCCAUCCAUCCAUCCAUCCAUCUAUCCAUCAUAUCUUGUUUUCCACGGUUGCAGGCCUGUGACACUCAUUGUAUCCAUGUGGGUUCUCUUCCCAUCCCCCUCUUUUUCCUGGCAUGAUCUCACCUUCCUUUCCCUCUGCUCUGCAUAUGAUUGCCAGUAAGACACAACUGGAACCCUUGGGAACAGUGAAAGUGUGAGAGGAAAAAGGAAGGAAAUAAAAUAGAAGACCAUCAAGAGGAACAUGGGAUGAGGAAAGGCUUGAUGAAGAGUGAAGUUAGAACCACCAGGGGCCUUCGGGAUUGUGGGGAAGGGCUCUACCAUCAUGGGCUCAUCGGAGCUCCAGGGGCUCAGACUACAAACGGAAGGAGCGAUGCUUCAGCUGGCUUAGCUGCGAACCCAUCUGUUUCUUCUUGAACUCUGUGGAGAUUUGUGUGACGCAAACACAAGAGUGGUUCCAUCUGAGAGCCUCCACCGCGGGAGUGGGAUCUACUGAUGUAAGGAGCGGCAGCACCUCGGAGAAAUUCCAGAGGUCUUCCUGAAGACCUCGCAUGAAAGACUCAGAGACUGGACUUCCAAGAAAUACGUAAGUUCAGAAUGCUGUUUAGAUCCGUGGCUAAAUCUCACUCCACCACAACUCCGCUCACGCUUCUAUUUCAAGCAACACUCAAGGCAGGGUCCACCUAAGAGAGCUGCACACACAGCUUCUAACAGGAGUGGGUGGAAUCGCCAGGCGCCCCCUGCUGGCAACCGUAUUCAGCAGCUCCUGCUCAGUCUCCGCGUGGACUGGCUGCCAAGCCCACACCCCUGUUUGUUAACCAGGGGCUUAGCACUGCAGAGAAGCCAAUCCGGAUGACCUGCACGUGGUGGUCACCUGAGAGCCUUGCGAUCCUGUGAGUACACAGCUCUGCACCAAAUAGCAUUCACCGAAAGUUGACUAGGUUGAAACUUCAUGUAGCUCGUACUUGCCUAGCGUGCGCAGGCUGAAGUUUGAUCCCCAAUACCGUAGACACAGACAGAAGAAAAAGUGGGACUUUUUUUGGCAAAGCGAAGCCUUGUUUAAUGUCAAGUGGAUGUCAGCCUUGGCUGGGGGCUUGGAAGGAGCAAGGGGACUUCUAAGAGCUGAUCAUACUCUUCCUUGAUUUUAGUGUUGGCAUCCUCAGCCUAUGGAAAUGAUAAAAGUUUACCAAGUAGUAUGAUUAUGAUUUUAUGCCUAUGAGUGUAUGUAAUAGCUCAAUUAAAAUGUUUUUCCUUAAAAAAGUGCCUGCCUUAGGGUCAGAGUCCAUCCUUCAGCACAGUGUCCAUCUCAUGGUAAUUGUCUCACCAUGGUUUCCAGUAGGUGCUUCCCAAAGGCUGACCGUCCAGUUCAUAGACAGUCACAGCAUGGCUGUGUCCUCACAAGGAGACUAGGAGGAGAGCUUUGUACACUCUCUUCUGUGGGGGUCCGAAUCCUGGUCACAAGGACUCCAUUGUCAUGACCUCGUCACCUCUGAAAGGCUUCACCUCCUACACCCGCCCACUGGAGGCUGAUGGACUUAGGAAAAGACACUCACUGCAUCGUGGUCCGUUGGAUCCAGACAACCAAACACUGAAAUCUCUGGAACCGAGAUGAAGAUCUUCCAUCUUCUUGAGUUGUUCCAGGAACUGGCAAUCACGAGCUUCGAACCCUAGAAUUUUAGAACCGGAACAGGACCAGAGAUGCAAGAACUUUGCAACAGUGUUCUCCUCUCUUAUUGGGACCAGAGAUGGAAGAACUAUGCAACCAUGUUCUCCUUUCUUAUGCUAAAAGUGUUUAUUUUCCUCUACAAUCUAGAAUUUUCUAUUUAAAGGACUUCUUAGAAGGAACUGAUAAGGGGCUGUUAACCCAAAACUGAAGCUACAUCCUGCUGAGUGCAUGAUGAUGUCCCAAAGACAGCCAGCGGCCACGAGACUUCAGU